UACGGAGGUCCCAAGCGUUGUUCGGAUUCACUGGGCGUAAAGGGUGCGUAGGCGGUCGGGUAAGUCUGAUGUGAAAUCUCACAGCUUAACUGUGAAACUGCAUUGGAUACUAUUCGGCUUGAGAGUUGGAGGGGGGACUGGAAUUCUUGGUGUAGCAGUGAAAUGCGUAGAUAUCAAGAGGAACACCAGUGGCGAAGGCGAGUCCCUGGACAACUUCUGACGCUGAGGCACGAAAGCUAGGGGAGCAAACAGG
rnacentral:rRNA from 1 species